rnacentral:rRNA from 4 species
UAUACGACUCUCGGCAACGGAUAUCUCGGCUCUCGCAUCGAUGAAGAACGUAGCGAAAUGCGAUACUUGGUGUGAAUUGCAGAAUCCCGUGAACCAUCGAGUCUUUGAACGCAAGUUGCGCCCGAGGCCUUUCGGUUGAGGGCACGCCUGCUUGGGCGUCACGC